CAAACAGUAAGAAUAAAAUCGAUUUAAUUUCGGGGUCUUUUCAUUUUAAAUGAAACGGGGUCUUUUCAUCCGCGUGCCCCUUGUUUUGAUAUUAACUGCGAUUUACUUUGGCGAUCCCCUCGUUUAUUAUUUUGAUUUUUUUUACUCCGCGUCUUGUUUAUGUUUUUGUUUUGAUUAGACACAAGGUGCGAGUUAGAUAACGAAAACGCUGCAGCUGUUCCGGAAUCGAAUUACCGGAACCUCUUCCGGUACACCGACUACACUGACGACUCUCUCGUUAAGAUGCUUUCUGAUGACAGCGGAUCGGAGCAAGUUUUUCGGAUGGCAGGGUUCACUGCUAGCUCCACUCGUGACCGGUAUCUCCACUGACAGUGAGAGCUGUGAAGAACCGAUUUCACCCAAGCCGAAAUCACAAAAUUAUAUACCUAUGCUGCAGAUGAAAGUCAUGGAGCGAAUGUAUGGCAAGGCUAUUUAUUAAGGUAUCACUCUACGCAGAGGUGGAAACGAAAUCUGCAACAAGCGUAAGCAGCAGGGAAUCGCAGCAGAGGCAGGCCCAGAGGCUCAUGGCGGCGCAGCCUUAUCAACAAAAUGAAGCAAGUCGACAUAAAUUUGACCUUGCCUAGGUCGUCAAGGUGAUGCGAUAGUGGGCAAUCGCCCAGAUUGGAAAUCUUGUGAUUCGGCCAUCUGCACCAACGUGGGUGCUCAGGACUGAAAGUCAUCCUGCAAACCAUCGAUAAGUAGAAUAUCAACCUGUUGGGUUAUUUGGCGAAGGAUUCUUCGUGGAGGAGAUACUUUACUGUUCAGUACCUCUGAAACUAGACAUUAACUAAGAGUUGUAAUUCCGUUGUUCCAUCUAUCUUUUAUGAUAUUAUUCUAUUGAUAAAUAAAUAGGGUGAAAGGGGUGGGGUGGGCAUCGUAUUGGAAAAAUAACCGAAAACUCCCAACGGAACAUACCUAGAUACAUGGACUUCUUAACGGACUGUAUCCAAAGUGAUAGCGAUUGUGGCUGGAAUUUGUAGUAAUUUUAUAAGUUCACUAUGAUCUUCCAUUGCAAGGAUAUGCAAAUAAGAUUGGUUUUGGAAUUUGACCAUUUCUUUCCAGAACUUGUGCAAUAAUUCCUUAAAUUCUCAGGCAAUAUUGGCUUCAAACGAAAUUUGAUAAUGGUUUGUAGGUUCACCAUGUCCACCCAUUGCAAGGUGAUGCAGACAAGACUGCCUUUUUAAUUUGACCAUUCCUCUCCAGAACUUCUGGAAUUGUCCCAGAAUUUCUUAGGCAACAUUGGCGUUAAUAAAGUUUUGGUAAAGGUUUGUAGGUUCACCAUGUCCACCCAUUGCAAGGUGUUGCCGACAAGACUGCCUUUCGAAUUUGACCAUUCCUCUUCAGAACUUCUGGAACUGUUCCAGAAAUUCCUAGGCAAUAUUGCCUUUAAUAAAGCUUCGAUAUAGGUUUGUAUGUUCACCAUGUCCACCCAUUGCAAGGUGAUGCAGACAAGACUGCCUUAUUAAUUUGACCAUUCCUCUCCAGAACUUCUGGAAUUGUCCCAGAAUUUCUUAGGCAACAUUGGCGUUAAUAAAGUUUUGGUAAAGGUUUGUAGGUUCACCAUGUUCACCCAUUGCAAGGUGAUGCAGACAAGACAAGACAAGACGAAUUUGACCAUUCCUCUUCAGAACUUCUGGAACUGUUCUAGAAAUUCCUAGGCAAUAUUGUCUUUAAUAAAGUUUCGAUAUAGGUUUGUAGGUUCACCAUGUCCACCCAUUGCAAGGUGAUGCAGACAAGACUGCCUUUUUAAUUUGACCAUUCCUCUCCAGAAACUCUGGAAUUGUCCCAGAAUUUCUUAGGCAACAUUGGCGUUAAUAAAGUUUUGGUAAAGGUUUGUAGGUUCACCAUGUCCACCCUUGCAAGGUGAUGCAGACAAGACUGCCUUAUUAAUUUGACCAUUCCUCUCCAGAAACUCUGGAAUUGUCCCAGAAUUUCUUAGGCAACAUUGGAGUUAAUAAAGUUUUGGUAAAGGUUUGUAGGUUCACCAUGUCCACCCAUUGCAAGGUGAUGCAGACAAGACUGCCUUUCGAAUUUGACCAUUCCUCUUCAGAACUUCUGGAACUGUUCCAGAAAUUCCUAGGCAAUAUUGUCUUUAAUAAAGCUUCGAUAUAGGUUUGUAGGUUCACCAUGUCCACCCAUUGCAAGGUGAUGCAAACAAGACUGCCUUUUUAAUUUGACCAUUCCUCUCCAGAAACUCUGGAAUUGUCCCAGAAUUUCUUAGGCAACAUUGGCGUUAAUAAAGUUUUGGUAAAGGUUUGUAGGUUCACCAUGUCCACCCUUGCAAGGUGAUGCAGACAAGACUGCCUUAUUAAUUUGACCAUUCCUCUCCAGAAACUCUGGAAUUGUUCCAGAAUUUCUUAGGCAACAUUGGCGUUAAUAAAGUUUUGGUAAAGGUUUGUAGGUUCACCAUGUCCACCCAUUGCAAGGUGAUGCAGACAAGACUGCCUUUCGAAUUUGACCAUUCCUCUUCAGAACUUCUGGAACUGUUCCAGAAAUUCCUAGGCAAUAUUGUCUUUAAUAAAGCUUCGAUAUAGGUUUGUAGGUUCACCAUGUCCACCCAUUGCAAGGUGAUGCAGACCUUCAUUCUUGUUUACGGGCGUAUCCGCGUUCGAAUGUAUUUGGUUCGUUCGAAGCCGUAGCUCAUUUAAUUUUGCUGGCGCAAACGGGAAUGCGGACGAUUUACGUUCGAAAGUGGAUUCGAUCGAAAACAAGAAUGAGGGUGUCCUGAGUAACGAGGUGACGCAAAGUACACGAAACUAUUGAAAUUAACCAUUACUCAUCAGAGCUUCGAGAAGUACUCCUGAGGUCCAUCAGUAGUUUUUCUUUUACAUCAAAGAAAAUAAUGUUGCUUAAUAGGUUCACCAUAUCCUCUGAGUAGCGAAAUGACGCAAAGUACAUUAAAACUGUUGAUAUCCAUCAUUACUUAUCAAGAGUUCUAUGGGUACUCCUGAGGUCCAUGAUUUUUUCUUCUUCUAAUGUGAUUUUGAUGUUGCUCAACAGGUUCACCAUGUCCUCUCAACUAGCGAGAUGACGCAAUGCUCAUCUCUCAUAGAAUGCAUUAUUACGUCUUAUUAAAUAUAUUUAUCUUAUUAUACUAAGGGCCGAAAGUCUCUUAAAUAAAGACAAAUCAGUCAAUAUUUUAUAAUAUCUCUGAUUUAACAUUUGAUUUUAUUAAUUUUAUUGUUCCCUCCUUCCACCGUCGCUCUGCAGGUUUUCAGCAGCCACUACUUGAGCCUUAUGGAUUAUCCGAAGCUUUCAAGAGGUUUCCAGCAUACAGCCCAGGUUACGAGUGUCACUUCACGGUGAAAACGAAAAAGUUACACCGGUAAUUAGGACGGUGAAAGUGAUUCCCAUUUAAUUAACCCACAACUUUUUCACGGAACGUGAAGUGACACUCAUAAUAAGGGCCCCAGCGUAUUGAUUGGUUGAUUCAACUUGUUUGACUCGAAAAUAACAGUUGGUGUCGUCAUAUCGUCAGAAGGAAUUCCGGAUCCGGUAAAUCCAGACUUGGUUUGUUUCUUCCGAAUGAAUUUUUAUAUGGCGGCGGUGUUAUCGCUGAAACCGUACUUCAGGAACAUCCAUUUUGGGGCUGAUGGCACGGAUCCAGAGACCACCUUCGUGCAAUUUAUCCUUGAAUGUCGUACCCUUUCUUCAUCAUCGGAUUGUCCGGAUCGUGCUUUACUUUUGCGCUCGCUUUUGUGCCAUCAUCGAUCGAUAAAAUUACACCGUCAUUCUCGAUACCUAGUUUGUUCCGCAUCGAGAAUCAGGAGAAUUCAAAGUGGACACUCAGAUGGGCGACGUUUCGCGAAACCCGCGGAUUUCGAUUCUCGUAAUGGCACAAAACGUUUCGGAUCGGAUUGUUUUGAAUCACUCGCAUCACGCAGAAAAAAACAAAUGUCACUUUGACGUUCAUGUCAAAAUGAAGGGGUCGACCAUAAACUAGGCUAACAAAUGAAAAGCCCCAUAUGCCGAUCACAAAUGACGACAUGGUCACCAAAAAAAUGACUAGUCGUACAUCGUUA